GACGUAGGGCGCGAGCGUUGUCCGGAUUUAUUGGGCGUAAAGAGCUCGUAGGCGGCUUGUUGCGUCGACCGUGGAAACCCGGGGCUCAACUUCGGGCUUGCGGUCGAUACGGGCGGGCUAGAGUUCGGUAGGGGAGACUGGAAUUCCUGGUGUAGCGGUGAAAUGCGCAGAUAUCAGGAGGAACACCGGUGGCGAAGGCGGGUCUCUGGGCCGAUACUGACGCUGAGGAGCGAAAGCGUGGGGAGCGAACAGG
rnacentral:rRNA from 1 species